AAGGUGCCCAACUAUACGCUCAUGAGAUACCACAAAAAGGUGUUGAUUCAUCUAAACAGCAGGACGGUGGACAUAAAAAGUCGUCAUCCGCUAAGGAGUGUGUUACAACUCACCUGCCGAAUGAAUUAGCCCCUGAAAAUGGAUGGCGCUAAAGCGUAUGACCGAUACUCAACCAUCAAUACAAAAGAAAGUAGUGAUGAGUAGGAGGGCGUGGGUGUUGUAAGAAGAUUAUGGCGUGAGCCUGAUUGGAACGACAUCUAGUGCAGAUCUUGGUGGUAGUAGCAAAUAGCCAAUUGGAAACGUUGGCGGCCGAAGUGGAGAAGGGUUCCCUGAGAACAGCAAUUGAUCAGGGGUUACGCGGUCCUAAGUUCCUGGUUAAAACCUAUAUAAGGUGCUCUCCAGCACAGAACGAAAGGGAAUCAGGUUGAAAUUCCUGACGCUGGGUGAGAUUCGUGGCAACACAAAACUAGACUUAGAAAACGCCAGCAAGUGUUCUUGGAAGAGUUUU
rnacentral:rRNA from 1 species